UACGUAGGGGGCUAGCGUUAUCCGGAUUUAUUGGGUUUAAAGGGUGCGCAGGCGGGAGAUUAAGUCGGCGGUGAAAUUUUGCAGCUCAACUGUAAAAGUGCCUUCGAAACUGGUUUCCUUGAGUGUAGAUGAAGUAGGCGGAAUUUGUGGUGUAGCGGUGAAAUGCAUAGAUAUCACGAGGAACUCCGAUUGCGCAGGCAGCUUACUAAACUACUACUGACGCUCAGACACGAAGGCGUGGGGAUCAAACAGGAUUAGAUACCCCGGUAGU
rnacentral:rRNA from 1 species